GCACAUUUGAGAGGGAGGCACAAAAGCAAUAAAAUUAGCUAGAAUAUUCAAACUAUCAUAAUACAUUCAUAAGACUGUUACUGUAGUCAAAACUCCUUUCAUAAUACAUUCAUAUUUAACAAGCCUGCGUUGCAUAUAGGAUCUCUUCUGGAAUUAUAACUUUUAGAAUUAAUAAAGAUCCAUAUUCUCUACCAAGGCAAAGGACAAAAAACAUAAAGACGAAAGUGUUAGAAUUCAUACUUGAGAGGGGAAAAAAAAGUUCUAAGCCUAUCUCAUUACAAGUGAAGUGAAACAAUAUUCCAGGUAUCCUAGAAUUCAAGGUAGGGCUAUACACAGGUUGGUUUGAGCGAGUUCACGGUAUUUUGCCAAACCAAACCGACAAAGUUGGUUUUGAUGGUACUCAAACCGAAACCAAAAAAUUAAAUUACAAGGAAAAGAAAUAAAGAACAAAUGGAAGAAUGGAAGGGGAAAACAACAAAAGGUAACAGAUAGGAAGAGUAGAGAAG
rnacentral:misc_RNA from 1 species